GCAAACAGCACUCUUAAAAUGAGUUAAGUGGAAGACAUAGGGGCAAAGGAGGUAACUUCUAUAAAGAUGGAAGCUGCUUCUGGUUCAUCAGCCAUCGUUGAUGAUAACCAGUCCUACAAUUCUCAUUAGGUGGUUCUGUUACCCCACUAUUUCCUUGGGGUCUGUUGUGCUAAGGACAGGAUUGGUUGGGUAAAGAGGUGUGGCACAAAUAACCCUCAGGAAUACAGGCCACAGAGCUAAUGAAGGGCCCCAAGGAAAGAAAAACCUGCCCAUCAGCGAUGAAUUCUCUCCCCUCAUGCCACAGACCUGAGGGCACGUGACCCAGGAAUGUGCAUCCAAAGAUAAUACUACCUUCAGAGAACUCUACUUAUAGGCUUUGGUUUUUCAAGAAAAAGUAAAAGAUUCAUGAUUCACUGAGCUCUUUCCUUGUGAGAAGAAAGACAACUCUUUUAUGUGGUGAAGUUGGACAACAGUUCCCGAGGAAGCUGAAUUCUAGCUGUUUAUUGUUAUUGGGUCUUGUACUAUGCCCUUUAUGUUGUCAUUAAUCAAUAAAUAUGUGAGGAACAAAUGAUUAGCUAGA